rnacentral:lncRNA from 1 species
UCUGUAAUGACAAAAUUACAGUUUUCUAACUUUCUCUUUCUACUAGGGGAAAAUAAAGGCCUGAGUGCAAAGGCAGCAGCCAAACAAAUAGGAGAGCGGAAGGUGAAGAGUUCCAACAGAAGCUGGACAGAUAACUUUGGACAGAAGGCCUAUGGUUUUGCUGGCCCUGCCUCAAGGCAAACAACCGAGAGAGGUAAUACAGAGUUCUUAUUAGAUGAUUUGCAGUAACAAGACAGACUAAUUAGCUCUUUCCUAAGAGUUCAUUUUGAGGUUGGAGAGACCAUGAGAGCAGAGAAACCUGACGUGGGGGGAGGGGAUGUUCCCGAGGAGGAAGCCCCAACAGAAUCCAGUGGUAAUAUGCAAGAGAGAUGCUGAAGACAAACUGAACCUGUGUUAUGAAUUAGAAAGAAGCAUAAAGAGCUAAGAUUUGGAAUCCGAAGCCAUUUUGUUCCUGACUUGCUCACUUGUAAAUAACCCAACAAAAACAUAUAGUAUAUACCAUAGAUGUCUUAAAGGCAAAGAUUGUGUCUUACUAAUUUCUGCAUAUCCAGUGCCUAAUACAGAACCUAGC